GACAACGUGGCCAAGUGGUUAAGGCGACAGGGCGACAGACUCGGAAUCUGUUACUCUUUUGGUGCGCAGGUUCCAGUCCUGCCAUUGUCG